rnacentral:rRNA from 1 species
GACGAACGCUGGCGGCGUGCUUAACACAUGCAAGUCGAACGAAGAGCGAUGGAAGCUUGCUUCUAUCAAUCUUAGUGGCGAACGGGUGAGUAACGCGUAAUCAACCUGCCCUUCAGAGGGGGACAACAGUUGGAAACGACUGCUAAUACCGCAUACGAUCUGACCUCGGCAUCGAGGAUAGAUGAAAGGUGGCCUCUACAUGUAAGCUAUCACUGAAGGAGGGGAUUGCGUCUGAUUAGCUAGUUGGAGGGGUAACGGCCCACCAAGGCGAUGAUCAGUAGCCGGUCUGAGAGGAUGCACGGCCACAUUGGGACUGAGACACGGCCCAGACUCCUACGGGAGGCAGCAGUGGGGAAUCUUCCGCAAUGGACGAAAGUCUGACGGAGCAACGCCGCGUGAGUGAUGACGGCCUUCGGGUUGUAAAGCUCUGUUAAUCGGGACGAAAGGCCUUUUUGCGAAUAGUGAGAAGGAUUGACGGUACCGGAAUAGAAAGCCACGGCUAACUACGUG